CCCAUCACUAGUUAUUAGACACAACCUGACACACCAUGUUAACUGAAUAUGUUUAUGCAUCGUAACAGAAUAGGGACGCAAAUAAAAAUGUGUUAGUCACAAUUUUCUUAACACUUUUUGCUUCGGUCUGAUUCAAAACGCGUUGAUCUGUGUUUAUUUAUCUAAAGUUCAGUUCAAGCAGUUACAAGAGCUAAAAAUUAUAGUUACAAAAUUAGUUCGUGAGGAUGUAUAGUAAAAUGAAUGGAUAUCCAUCAACUUUUAGGUCAAGCGGCGGCCGACUUUGGGGAAUGUCGCACUCACUUCCGUCAGGAAUGUCAAAUUAUGCAUGCGGACAGGAUUCGGAUUUUGCAUACACUUCACGACCACGGAUUCACGAAAUGACUUCUAGCAACACAUUUGGCAAUACUUCUCAUAUAUCAACUUCAAGCACAAGCUUAUUAUCAGGACUCAGUUGCAGCUCAGGUAGCACUAAUUAUAGUGGAACGAACCUGAUAGUCAAUUAUUUGCCGCAGGAUAUGACUGAACGCGAGCUUUACUCAUUAUUUUCUACCAUGGGAUCGAUUGAGAGCUGUCGAGUUAUGAGAGAUUUGAAGACUGGUUACAGUUUUGGCUUUGGUUUUAUAAAUUUUUUAUCCGAGGAAACAGCACAACGUGCUAUCAGAUGUUUAAAUGGCUACACAGUACGGAACAAACGACUUAAAGUUUCGUAUGCCCGCCCACAAAGCGAAGAAAUUAAGGAAACAAAUCUGUAUAUAACAAAUCUCCCAAGGACGAUAACUGAAGAACAAUUAGAUAUCAUUUUUGGCAAAUAUGGAACAAUAGUGCAAAAAAAUAUUCUAAGAGAUAAAUUGACUGGUCAUCCCAGAGGUGUUGCGUUUGUACGGUUCAGUAAACGAGAGGAAGCACAGGAAGCGAUAUCAGCCUUAAACAAUGUAAUACCCCAGGGUGGUACUCAACCUUUAAAUGUUCGGGUAGCAGAUGACCACGGAAGAGCUAAGGCAGCACUCUACGUUCCUUCGUAUAACUCAAUCGUACACAAUAAUCGAGUACCUAGCCCAAGCGUACAAUUGAAAAUGGAUUGCAGCAGUUGUCGUUCAUUAUACGAGUUAGAGAUGGUGAAACGUAAAAACCUUCAGUGUAGUUUGUCAGAGGAGCAGCAACGAAGACGCAGAUUUCAAAGAAUUUGCUAUCGGCAAAAACAAACUCUGGUGAAAAACAAUGCAAAAAUCCAGCAAUUGAAAAAGCAAUUAAAAGCGAGCCAAGCCAAAGAGAAAAAGGGGAACAAACUACUCAAGACCUUAAAAUGCAAUCCGAUAUUGCUCGAGUCCAUGAAAAAUUUUUGUAUCAAUAAAAAUACACGAAGAUAUCCGAGCAUGAAAUACACUGUAACUUGUCAGCGUAUAAAUUCGGGAUCAGCAUACAAAAAUUUGAGAGCAGCAGGUGUUUUAUGCAUGCCGCAUCCUAAAUCUAUCACCAGAUGGCAGCAAUCCGGGAUUCAAUCUUGAAAUCAUACGACGUAUGUCUAUUAUUGCGUCUGGACUCCAAGAACGGGACAAGUUGAUUGUAUUACUCAUUGGAAUGUCUUUGAAACCGACAAUAGGUUUUCAUGCGAAAAGCGACUUCUUCUAUGGUCUCUCGAACGACGGUGUAUUCAAAGUUAAUGAAGAAAAUGAUACUGCUAAUUUAGCUAAUGAGGCUAUUACAAUCAUGGCUAGAGGAGUAGGCAGUAAGUAUAAACAAACCUUCGGAUACUUUCUCGCAAAGACAACCCUUAGCUGUACACGACAACAAAAAAUAAUUGAAGAAGCUGUGAGAACUAUGUUUAAAAUAGGAUAGGAAAUAGGACUGCUAGGGCAUUAGGCGUUACAGUUGAUAAACCAAUGUUCGAUAUAGAUGGCCAUCCCGUAUUGUUUUUUUCGACGCUCCGUACUACACUUGAGUCGCUACGAAACAAUUUAUUCAACAAGAAUGUACUUUUCCAGGACGAAAUAGUGUCUUUCCAACACAUACGUGAACUGUACAAAAUGGAUAUUUCAAAAAUGCCUCGAUUAGUUCCGAAGCUUACUCAAAAAGCGGUCGAGCUUCCUGCGUUUUCAAAGAUGAAUGUCAAGCUAGCAACGCAAACCCUUAGUGGAACCACUGCUAAAGCUAUCAACACAUCAUUAAAUUGCAAUGUUUGGAGAAAGAGGUGUUACCAACUGCUUCAUUUAUAGAGCUUUUCGACCAACUCUUUGAUGUUUUCAACUCUCGGUUCAAGUUUAACUCGGCCAAGGUUCGUAAAUGAAACAUGUUUAUUUUAAUUUUCCUCUUUUUGUAUGUGGUUCUAUAGUUAGGUUAAGGAUAUGUUUAUUAUGUUUAUUUUUUAUCAGACCGACAUCAAAAAGCACAGUUUUAAACAAUGUUGUAUGACGGGCUUGAAAAUCUCAAGUAGUACACAACAGACACAAACACUGGAGCUGUGUGAUAAUUUGCUGAGAAUGUGCACUCCGGUGUUUUAGUCUGCUGUAUUUCUAUCUAAGGACUUCAAGUUCGUCAUACAAAGUUUUUCAAAAUUAUGCUUUUUAAAUGACCGACUAGCGAAAUGGUUUAAAUCCUAAUGUUAAUUUACAAUUUACAAAGGUUAUGAUUAAUUACUGUUGAAUGUUAUCUCUUUUCUUUGCAGCUAUUAUUUAUUUUAUUUAAUUGUCAAUUCAUGAUAUCCUUUUCAUUCAUGAAUAUUCUUUAUAUAGUAUACAGUUUUUAUUAUCCUGUUAAAAUUAUUAUCCUGUCGAAAUCAAUCCGGAAAACCCAAACGUCUGGUUUCCAAUUCCAGAGAAGUAAUUUAGAACGACCAAAGUUUAAAGAUUCUAUCUUAAUAUAUUAUUUAUUUAUUAUAUAAUAUUUUUUUUUAUUCUCGCUUAUUUACCGUCGGUCUAGCUCCGCCACUGUUGUUGUGCCAAUCACCGACGCCCGGGGAGGCGACUCCACCCAGGACCCUAACUCACGACCCGUUGAUUAACGGACCGGCGCCAACGGCUUUACUUCCUCAUGCGAUGGAAGGCGUGAUCCCAGAGAUUUUUCGCCUCAGAAAAUCUCCCGGUGUCGGCUAGGAUUGAAUCUAGACCAGUUGGGUUGGUUGUGAGUGGAUCACGCCACCUCACAACCAUCGACACCUAUGUCGGCGGUGGGAUUCGAACCCAGGCGUCGAGCGUGGUUGGCGGAGACGUUACCAACCACGCUAGGCCCCCGCUCUAUAUUAAAUAAUAUAUAAUAUAUUAUUUAUAUUAAUAUAUUAUUUUUUUCCAUCUUAAUAUAUUAUGUGGUUCUGCCACUUAAUAACCUUCCGUGGGAGGUUUCUUUUAGUUACACUUUAGAUACAAGUAAACCAACGUAACUGUUUGGAUGCUGGAAAUAAACUGACGCUCAACUUCACGUCGUUCGCAUUUAUUAGAAUCUCUUUUGACAGAGCUGCUCGAAUCCGAACAGCACUCUAAUUUAGUUCCUAUAUAUUUUAGGAAAAAUUGAAGUAUCGAUAAUCGAUACUUGUAUGCAACACAGUUGACUUUCUUUGUCUGGUUUUAGUGUUCAUUCUUCUGUUUUUAUGUUUGAAAUGGAAAAUACUCUUGAAUUAGAUGGAAAAUUCAAACAGUUUUUCGUACAGCCGUUGCGUGCUGCAAUAGCUGAAAAUAGUGAUCAUUGGGAUUUUCUGAACAAAAUGGAAAAACCAAUCAAAAAUCUCCAAUUUGUACCUAACUACUGUUUCGAUGCAGCACAAGCAGCCGAAUGCGCUAACACAUUGACAAAAGCACAACGAUUCCCACCAUGCCUAAAUAGAUAUCUGCAAAAUAUAAAAGCGCUUUCUAUGCUUUGGAAAAAUUUAAGCAAAGAAUAUGGAGUUUCCUACAUAUGCACAAUAAAUCUUUGCCAUGAUCCGCUCGAAAACCAAUUUUCCAAUAAAAGACGGGGUUGUGGAUCUAAUGAUUCUCCCAACGCUUUGCAUUUCGCAGCAGCACUAAAGUAUUGUAGUAUUUUUAAUGGCCUACGAGCUGUUGAAAACGCUAACUGUGAAGGCGACAAUUCGAAGAAUAUGAUAGAAAGUCAAAGUAUCGUGGACUCUGAAAAAGAUCCUCUGGAAUGCGCAGGAAGUGAGAAUUGUUCCAUGCGUUUUUUCGUGCCGAUUGAUUUUGGAAACAUAGAACCUUUAGAUGCAGCUGAAGUAAAUACCGUCGUGUACAUCGUUGGUCAUGCGGUUUCUAAGCUCGUGCAUACUCGAUGCCGUCAAAAUAUGAUAAUGCUGGAUAAAAACGAGCUAGACGAAAGCUAUAUAUUUUGCAGAAUGAAACGUUAUUCGAAAUUAUUUCAAUUCCCUAAGAAAGUUGCCCGUGAUAUUGGACUACAAUUGUUCCUCAUUUUUAAAGAAAAGUUUUACGACCUAUUUCGUGAAAGCCGAUUCUCUGUUAAAGCACGGCUCAAAGAAUAUAUACAACAGGACAGUGAGAUUGUUUUUUUUCAAAAUGUUAUGAAAAAUUAAUAAACUGCAUUUUCAAUACUUUCAUCAAUUAGCAAGUUCGCAAAAUGCAAUGCUCAAUAAAUAACAGAAGAGCGAGACGGUUUAGACAACUUGGUAAAGCAAAACGAAUGCAAUUACCUCCGAACAAUAGAAAACGCAGCUCUAAAACACGAACUCCCAAAGUACGAAUUCGACAAAAGGUUUUAACCCGGAUAACAAAGCGAAAAUCACCUACAAAAAAUCGAAGAAUGUUACAAGAAAGGAAACUCGUCUGCAAAAAGGCAUAUUUGCACGUACUGGUUCGUCAAAUGUUGGUAAUGACGGUGCAAAUAUGGAGCAAACAAGAAAGAGCAUCCAGUUACUCGAAGAGCUUGUGGCCACAUUUCCUGAUCGGGGAAAAAAACUUACUCAUCGAGAUUGUCAUGAUCUUUCAAUAGAUUUUAUUGCCAGUACGUACGAAAAGUACAAGUCUGAGCUUCGAACGUUGUUUGAUAAAUAUAUUAAGUAUGUAUCGAAAUGUAUCAAAAAUUGAAAACAUAUUGAAAUGGUACCAAAUAUCGAACAUAUUCACUGAUGAGCAGCAAUAUCGCAUGAGUCUUUAUUUAGAAAAUGAAUUACUAACGGAACAAGAAAAAGGAAUACAUACAGAUUUUUUGGACUCUGUGCUAAUACAUGAAUGGGGCUCAAAGAUUUUCAUUAGCGUAUAUAAAUUCGAUAGCCGCGAAGAGGCUCUCGAGCGUGUGAAGCUUCAGGAAGAAAUGAUAAUAUAUAAAAAUGAUUGAUCCACGAACUCGAACGAUCCACGAAAUUCAUCGUAUUCUCAACAGAAAAACGCACAUCCGAUGGGAAGACGAUUUAGCAAUGGCAGUUAACGAUGAGUAAUUUCAAAUGCAUUCAGAUUGUUAUACCCAACAGGAUCUUGCAGGGAGAGUGAUUACGUGUGCCAAUCAGCUGGUUCUCUGAUGGCUGUUACAAAAGCGAGUUUAUAUACGUGAAAAAAAUGUACAAAUGAUGAAUAAUGUUUACUCCACGAAACUUAAUUUUCAAGAUUUUUUUUUCAUUCGAAUGAAA